CUUCCGGUUGUAGAGCGUGUUGUGGAAGAUGGUUGAAUUUCAUCUUUCACGACUACAACAGAUGUGAACGUAAGAGCCAACCAAUCAGAGUGCUGUUCACGUCAUCAUGCCGCACACCGCCAUAAUUUACUGCACUCUGAUCGGUUGCUGUAAUCAAGUUUACAACGUAUCUUUACUCUAUUGUAGAUUGAUCCGUUGUAAAACAUUUAUGACUACUACUACUCCUACUCCUACAACCUUACGCUUACGCAAUUGUAGAAUAGCCUUAAUACGCAGUAUUCACAUAUUUGCAAGAUAAAAAUAAUUUUAAACCAGAGUCACACAAGAAAAUUUUAAAGUAUCAAGUGGAAGAAA